rnacentral:misc_RNA from 1 species
CAACCCUUAAGCCUAGCUUAGUGUUGGGAGUCUACAGCUUUGGCUGUAGUUCCCCAAAUGAAACGGCGGAUCCGCAGUAUCCUCUGAGCGUAGUAAAUCUUUAUCUCGCUUUUGUCAGGUGCUGUGGCUCUUGCCGCUAAACCCCCAAUUUUUAAU